rnacentral:rRNA from 1 species
UAGGGAAUUUUGCGCAAUGGGCGAAAGCCUGACGCAGCAACACCGCGUGCGGGAUGAAGGCCCUUGGGUUGUAAACCGCUGUCAGCAGGGAAUAAAUUGACUGUACCUGCAAAGGAAGCACCGGCUAACUACGUGCCAGCAGCCGCGGUAAGACGUAGGGUGCAAGCGUUGUCCGGAUUUAUUGGGCGUAAAGAGUUCGUAGGCGGUUGCCUAAGUCUGGUGUUAAAGCCCGGAGCUCAACUCCGGCAUGGCAUCGGAAACUGGGCGGCUAGAGUGUGGUAGAGGUCACGGGAAUUCCUGGUGUAGCGGUGAAAUGCGUAGAUAUCAGGAGGAACACCGGUGGCGAAAGCGCGUGACUGGGCCAUAACUGACGCUGAGGAACGAAAGCCAGGGGAGCAAAAGGG